UACGUAGGGUGCGAGCGUUGUCCGGAAUCACUGGGCGUAAAGCGCGUGUAGGCGGCCGGGCAAGUCGGAUGUGAAAUCCCGAGGCUCAACCUCGGAACUGCAUUCGAAACUGCUCGGCUCGAGUCCCGGAGAGGAUGGCAGAAUUCCCGGUGUAGGGGUGAAAUCCGUAGAUAUCGGGAGGAAUACCAGUGGCGAAGGCGGCCAUCUGGACGGUGACUGACGCUGAGACGCGAAAGCGUGGGGAGCAAACAGG
rnacentral:rRNA from 1 species